rnacentral:lncRNA from 13 species
UAAGGUCAUUAUAUUUACUAAGAUGUACCAUGUAAAACUGAUAAUCAGUUAUUGCUUUAACCAGGAAAAACUGAAGAACCAUAUGGAACCACCCCAGGAGCAGGUGAAAGCAGGACCAGAUUAACUACACCUGGAAAAUCAGGCACCAUUGGAGUAACCACUGGCACAACUCUUACCCCUAGAAGUUCCAACAUAGAGACCACAAAUGCUACAGGGACUCCUGGAGCAGGACUGUCAGGAGGUGAGUGCUAUCAUUCCAAGACUUUUGGUUCUAUUGAUUUAUUGUUUGGGAUUGCAGCU